GGGUGCGUAGCUCAGUGGUAGAGCACUACACUGAUAAUGUAGAGGUCGAUGGUUCGAUCCCAUCCGCACCCACCA
rnacentral:tRNA from 1 species